rnacentral:rRNA from 1 species
CAGUUAGUUGGUGGGGUAAUGGCCUACCAAGACUUCGAUCGAUAGCUGGUCUGAGAGGACGAUCAGCCACACUGGGAUUGAGAACGGCCCAGACUCCUACGGGGGGCAGCAGUGAGGAAUUUUCGUCAAUGGGGGCAACCCUGAACGAGCAACGCCGCGUGCAGGAAGAAGGUUUUCGGAUCGUAAACUGCUUUUCUCUGGGACGAGAACGGACGGUACCAGAGGAAUCAGCCUCGGCUAACUACGUGCCAGCAGCCGCGGUAAUACGUAGGAGGCGAGCGUUGUCCGGAGUUACUGGGCGUAAAGCGCACGCAGGCGGUCAGAUCAGUCUGGAGUGACAGUCGUCGGCUUAACCGACGAAGUGUUCUGGAAACUGUCUGACUUGAGGGCUUCAGAGGGACACGGAAUUCCGGGUGGAGUGGUGAAAUGCGUAGAUAUCCGGAGGAACACCAAUGGCGAAGGCAGUGUCCUGGGAAGUACCUGACGCUCAGGUGCGAAAGCUAGGGGAGCGAACAGGAUUAGAUACCCUGGUAGUCCUAGCCGUAAACGAUGACCACUAGACGUUGGGGGUAUCGACCCCCUCAGUGUCGCAGUUAACACGAUAAGUGGUCCGCCUGGGGAGUACGGUCGC